AUGUAAUCGAUCGAUCACACCGGUAACCAAACGUCGCCCCCCUGUGGUGCAUUCUCCGGAUCUCCGGCGUUUCACCCUGGGCGUCGGCCCCUGGGCUGGGGCUCUCACGAGCCGCUUUUCAGGUCCGACGGGCGCCUCCCUUGGGCUCACCCCCUGGGGCUGGCGUCGGCCAAAACCCCUGUAUCCAACCUUUUUUUAACACACCCCAAACCACAACCAACUCUGAAGCAUCUUUGGUGGCCCGGCCUCGUGCCGUCCACUCCAAACCAAAGACAACUCUCAACAACGGAUAUCUUGGCUCCCGUAUCGAUGAAGAACGCAGCGAAAUGCGAUACGUAGUGUGAAUUGCAGAAUUCCGUGAACCAUCGAAUCUUUGAACGCAAAUUGCGCCCGAGGCUUCGGCCGAGGGCAUGUCUGCCUCAGCGUCGGUUUACACCCUCGCCCUCCCCCACCCUGUGUGGUGGGGUGUUGGUGCGGAUCUGGCCCUCCCGGCUCCGCUCUGUUGAGCGCCCCGGGUUGGCUGAAGCCCAGAGGCUUGAGCAUGGACCCCGUUUGUAGGGCAAUGGCUUGGUAGGUAGGCACCCCCUACGCAGCCUGCCGUUGCCCGAGGGGACUUUGCUGGAGGCCCAGCAGGAAUCCAGCUGUUUCGGCAGCCGGACUACUCACUCAUUCGACCUGAGCUCAGGCAAGAUUACCCGCUGAACUUAAAGCAUAUAAA
rnacentral:rRNA from 1 species